UAGGGAAUCUUCCGCAAUGGGCGAAAGCCUGACGGAGCAACGCCGCGUGAGUGAUGAAGGGUUUCGGCUCGUAAAACUCUGUUAUUAGGGAAGAACAAAUGUGUAAGUAACUGUGCACAUCUUGACGGUACCUAAUCAGAAAGCCACGGCUAACUACGUGCCAGCAGCCGCGGUAAUACGUAGGUGGCAAGCGUUAUCCGGAAUUAUUGGGCGUAAAGCGCGCGUAGGCGGUUUCUUAAGUCUGAUGUGAAAGCCCACGGCUCAACCGUGGAGGGUCAGUGGAAACUGGGAAACUUGAGUGCAGAAGAGGAAAGUGGAAUUCCAUGUGUAGCGGUGAAAUGCGCAGAGAUAUGGAGGAACACCAGUGGCGAAGGCGACUUUCUGGUCUGUAACUGACGCUGAUGUGCGAAAGCGUGGGGAUCAAACAGG
rnacentral:rRNA from 1 species